rnacentral:ncRNA from 2 species
ACGAACCGCUAGGGGUGCUUUAAAGCUGAGAGAGACUGCCGAGUCUUAACCCUGUCACCUGAACUGGCUAAUACCAGCGGAGGGAAGUGGUGCUGACACAUU